rnacentral:snoRNA from 1 species
AAACCAUGAUGAGGACACUCUAAGAGAAGGUCUUUGAAACAUUCCAUACACCUAGAAAAUGAUUCAUUGGGUUUUUGAUGAAACUGGAGAAUGUCGUUCCUAAGUUU